rnacentral:rRNA from 1 species
AGCUUGCUGGGUGGAUUAGUGGCGAACGGGUGAGUAACACGUGAGUAACCUGCCCUUAACUCUGGGAUAAGCCUGGGAAACUGGGUCUAAUACCGGAUAGGAGCGUCCACCGCAUGGUGGGUGUUGGAAAGAUUUAUCGGUUUUGGAUGGACUCGCGGCCUAUCAGCUUGUUGGUGAGGUAAUGGCUCACCAAGGCGACGACGGGUAGCCGGCCUGAGAGGGUGACCGGCCACACUGGGACUGAGACACGGCCCAGACUCCUACGGGAGGCAGCAGUGGGGAAUAUUGCACAAUGGGCGAAAGCCUGAUGCAGCGACGCCGCGUGAGGGAUGACGGCCUUCGGGUUGUA